rnacentral:rRNA from 1 species
CCUACGGGUGGCAGCAGUGGGGAAUAUUGGACAAUGGGGGCAACCCUGAUCCAGCCAUGCCGCGUGUGUGAAGAAGGCCCUCGGGUUGUAAAGCACUUUCAGUGAGGAAGAACGCCUGGUGGUUAAUACCCAUCAGGAAAGACAUCACUCACAGAAGAAGCACCGGCUAACUCCGUGCCAGCAGCCGCGGUAAUACGGAGGGUGCGAGCGUUAAUCGGAAUUACUGGGCGUAAAGCGCGCGUAGGUGGCUUGAUAAGCCGGUUGUGAAAGCCCCGGGCUCAACCUGGGAACGGCAUCCGGAACUGUCAAGCUAGAGUGCAGGAGAGGAAGGUAGACUUCCCGGUGUAGCGGUGAAAUGCGUAGAGAUCGGGAGGAAUACCAGUGGCGAAGGCGGCCUUCUGGACUGACACUGACACUGAGGUGCGAAAGCGUGGGUAGCAAACAGGAUUAGAUACCCCGGUAGUC